GCUGCAGGCGAUAUUGUUAAAAUUAUUAUCAUGAUAUAUAUUUUGGUCAUACCAGGAGAUUUCAAUAUUCUGGUGCACAAGUCAGACAUUUUUCAGCGUGUGCUUAUAAUAUGUUGGACCGGCAUUGUUUCUUAACAAGAUAGUACAUGUAAAACAAGAUAGUUCAUGUACAGUACAGGAGUUCACUAAACUGCAAGUACAGGCAAGUUGAAUCUUUGAACAAACACGUUACAGUAAGUAAGUAAUUAUGUUUAAACAAGUAAUUAUAUUUAUGAAAACACGUAAUCACAUGUCGCAUGGCAACUUUUCCCUUACAAAGAGAGCAGGCUCGAGAAUGGAGCCUGGGACACCUCACUGACGCGCAGUACAUGCACCUUCAGGUCAUGUCUUCAGCGCCAACAGUCUGCUGAAUCCAUGGGUUUGUGACUUGGACUCCAGAUGGACUUAAACCUCACAUAAUAAACACAUACACAAAUUCUUUAACAAACAAUCUUUUAUGCUCAUGCUCAUUACGCGUCAGGUGCGCGCAGUCGCAGCAGGCGCUGCUGUAACGUGGCGCGCACACCUGCUGCUGCUGCUGCUGCUGCUGAGGCACUUGUCAUGGACUUUAUUUAACAGAGGACCCAAACUGAAGAAUCGCAAAAAUGCAAGAUCUGCGGUAUUGCAAUAAAAGAUGCUUGAUCGAUCACAUCAAACUUUAUCCGGCAACAGAACCCGCAGGGAGUGAUGAUGCCUAUGUCUUUAGGUGAGAUGGUAGCCAGGCCCCUCUUGCCGUGUGUCUGCAGCAGUUUCCUGACGUAGUUCAUCAGCACCUCCACCUCUGCUACAUUGAAGAACGAAGGACUGCUGGCCUCUCGCUCAUCGACGCCAGCCACCCCAUGGAAGAUCACUGGGAAGCCCUGAGAGAUACGAUACGCCAGCAGUGCAUCCCCUCGUAGUACAGACGGGCGGUUCUCAGACACACCAGGUACCUGGCAGGUGAAAAAGGCAGACAGACAGUGCUCAGGGUGAGAGCUGUGCCUGUACUGAAGUAUCCUAUUGAGAUCACUGGAGUGGACUUAUCUCCUACCAUGCCUCCUUGCAUCUCACUCUUUCCUGGAUCCAGAUGAGGGCUGAGCACCACAUUCAUCCUGCCCUGCUCACACCAGAGAGGCCUCUCUCUUCUUGGCUCCGUCCUGCACUGUAGACCCCCUCAACCACACAUCCUCCUUACAGUUGGUGCUGCAUGAUGAAUGCUACUCAAGGUAAUGAUCGUGUGUGUGUGUGAAGACUAGACAGUUGAUGGCGAUGGUGAUGAUUUUGACAGUAAAACGGAUGCUGCCACUAAAGGUAAUGCAAAUUCUGAGUUGACCGUGAAGACACAUAAUCAGGAAGAGAGGCAUGAAUCCUGAACGCUUGCUGCUUAGCAAUUGGCUACGAUCGUGGCUUGUGCAAACACGAUUCAAAGCUACUCUCCGGCUCAUUGAGGGAGACAGACUGACAGCAGCAGCAGUUGAGCAAGCCAUAGAGUGAAUAGAGAGAGGGAACAAAGCAGUGAAUCAGUGCAAUGUUGUACUCUAAAUGUUUCGAGGUGGUUGCAUUCAAAAGCACAAAAACAGUCAUUGCUGCAGCAUUGCUGGACAGUCCAAAUGUAUGCUUUUUCCUGCUCUCGGGUCUGACCCUGUGUCCAUGUGUGUUUAAAUGGCGCCUCUCGCCAUGUUCAGACAUACACAUACCUGAGGCUCACAAAGCCACAAGGGCGCAGGCAAGCGAGGUGGUUUAUAUUUAGCAACGUCAAGUCACGUCAGAAAACGUUAACUUGGAACAGUAUUCUCUUAUUUCUAUUUUUAUUAUUACUCCUUGGCCUUUAGACUUCUAAUCUUGGUUGGAGCAACUGUGACAACCCAAUUUCUGCUAGGGAUCAAUAAAGUAUUUCUGAUUCUGAUUCUGAAAAACCUCAAAAUAAUGGACCUGCCCUUCAAGGUGAGGUAAUGCAAAUGGACUUCCAUAAACUCCAUUAUGCACUCAUAAUACACGCAUACUACAUUCAAUUACUAAAGGCUAUCUAAAAUAAAAAUAAGAGUUCCAAUAAAGUCUAACAUGAGGAUGAAACAAUAAUGAAAAAAUAUAUCUGCCGGCAGCGAUGCGUGAGGUCUGCCCAUGACACAAACUCAGAUACAUGUUUGAAAUACUGCAACUGUCCACUGCUCCACUAUGCACACACACAUACUAUAUACAAACACUAAAACAAGUACAUCAGAUUAAACAAACAGGAUUAAAUAGCACAUCAAAUGCUAUUUCAUCUUGUUUGUUUAAUCUGAACAAAAACCAAUGUGUAAAAACAUUAGAUGCUUUAAAGUGGGGUCUUGUCACCAUGAAGUUGCCAAGAAUCACAGAAGUUGCUACACCCACCCAAGAAAUAGUCCCUGCAGCAAACCAACAUAAGACCAUGAUGUGUCAUUUCAAACUCCUGUAUGGUUUCAGUUAACAAGAUAUAAUGGGUUAAUUACUGAACUUUAGAGGUACUGGUAGUAGGAUUUUGUUAACCUUUGGAUGGAGACAGACUAGAUGUUUCCCUCUGUUUCCAGUCAUGGUGCUAAGCUAAGCUAAGCGACCAAGCUGCUGACGCUGGCUUCAUAUUCACCAUACUGGCUUGACAGCAGUAUCAACCUUCUGAUUUAACUCUCAACAAGAAAGGGAAAGAACAUAUUUCCCAAAAUGCCAAAAUAUUUUUUUUAAAAAAUCUUGUAUUUUUAAUUAUUUUCCAGAUCAUGACCUGGAGAUCAAAGGAACAUGGAAACAUGGAUGUGCUAUGUGAAAUUAAUUAUCUGUUUCAGAGAAUUUUGAUACACAUAUGCAUUUGGCCAAGACGCUCAAACAG